UAGUAGUAGUAGUAGUAGUAGUAGUAGUAGUUUGGUGUAAAACGGACAAAAGGAGGUAGGAAAUGAAGGGCACCUGAAUUGUCCAGUGGCCGUGGGAAA
rnacentral:lncRNA from 1 species